rnacentral:rRNA from 1 species
AGUGAAGCGGGAAAAGCUCAAAUUUAAAAUCUGGUGGUCUUUGGCCAUCCGAGUUGUAAUCUAGAGAAGUGUUACCCGCGUCGGACCGUGUACAAGUCUCCUGGAAUGGAGCGUCAUAGAGGGUGAGAAUCCCGUCUUUGACACGGACUACCGAGGCUUUGUGGUGCGCUCUCAAAGAGUCGAGUUGUUUGGGAAUGCAGCUCAAAAUGGGUGGUAAAUUCCAUCUAAAGCUAAAUAUUGGCGAGAGACCGAUAGCGAACAAGUACCGUGAGGGAAAGAUGAAAAGAACUUUGGAAAGAGAGUUAAACAGUACGUGAAAUUGCUAAAAGGGAAACGCUUGAAGUCAGUCGCGUUGGCCGGAAAUCAGCCUUGCUUUUGCUGGGUGUACUUUCUGGUUGACGGGCCAGCAUCAGUUUUGACCGGUGGAAAAAGUCUAAGGGAAUGUGGCAUCUUCGGAUGUGUUAUAGCCCUUGGUCGUAUACACCGGUUGGGACUGAGGAACUCAGCACGCCGCAAGGCCGGGUCUUUGACCACGUUCGUGCUUAGGAUGCUGGCAUAAUGGCUUUAAUCGACCCGUCUUGAAACACGGACCAAGGAGUCUAACAUGCCUGCGAGUGUUUGGGUGGAAAACCCGGACGCGUAAUGAAAGUGAAAGUUGAGAUCCCUGUCAUGGGGAGCAUCGACGCCCGGACCAGAAGUUCUCUGACGGCCCUGCGGUAGAGCAUGUAUGUUGAUGGUGAACUAUGCCUGAAUAGGGUGAAGCCAGAGGAAACUCUGGUGGAGGCUCGUAGCGAUUCUGACGUGCAAAUCGAUCGUCAAAUUUGGGUAUAGGGGCGAAAGUU